rnacentral:misc_RNA from 1 species
UGUGGUGGUGAAGGACUUGGACAU